CGCGGGGUGGAGCAGCCUGGUCAGCUCGCUUGGCUCAUAACCAAGAGGUCGCUGGUUCAAAUCCAGCCCCCGCUACCA
rnacentral:tRNA from 5 species